AACGAACGCUGGCGGCAUGCCUAACACAUGCAAGUCGAACGAGACCUUCGGGUCUAGUAGCGUACGGGUGCGUAACGCGUGGGAACCUGCCCUUAGGUUCGGAAUAACUCCCCGAAAGGGGUGCUAAUACCGGAUAAUGUCUUCGGACCAAAGAUUUAUCGCCUUUGGAUGGGCCCGCGUUGGAUUAGCUAGUUGGUAGGGUAAAAGCCUACCAAGGCGACGAUCCAUAGCUGGUCUGAGAGGAUGAUCAGCCACACUGGGACUGAGACACGGCCCAGACUCCUACGGGAGGCAGCAGUGGGGAAUAUUGGACAAUGGGCGAAAGCCUGAUCCAGCAAUGCCGCGUGAGUGAUGAAGGCCUUAGGGUUGUAAAGCUCUUUUACCCGGGAUGAUAAUGACAGUACCGGGAGAAUAAGCUCCGGCUAACUCCGUG
rnacentral:rRNA from 1 species